rnacentral:misc_RNA from 1 species
AACGCACAUUGCACCUUCUAGUAUUCUGGAGGGUAUGCCUGUUCGAGCGUCAUUUCAACCCUCAAGCACUGCUUGGUAUUGGAUGUCACUUUGUGGUGCAUCUCAAAAGCAUUGGUAGUAGCACCUAGCUUCUAGCAUAGUAAUUUCUUGCUAUGGAGUUAGGGGUUUGACUGCCAGAACCCCUAAUAUUUUAAAAGGUUGACCUCGGAUCAGGUAGGGAUACCCGCUGAACUUAA